rnacentral:rRNA from 1 species
AACAAACGCUGGCGGCGUGCCUAAUACAUGCAAGUCUAACGGGUAGCAAUAUCAGUGGCGCACGGGUGAGGAAUAUAUGGGUAAUCUGCCCUCGAGUCGGGGAUAACCAGUCGAAAGAUUGGCUAAUACCGGAUAAGACCACAGGAUCUGCGGAUCUAGGGGUUAAAGGUUUUUCGCUUGAGGAUGAGCCCAUACGGGAUUAGCUAGUUGGUGAGGUAAUGGCUCACCAAGGCUACGAUCCCUAACUGGUCUUAGAGGAUGAUCAGUCACACUGGAACUGAGACACGGUCCAGACUCCUACGGGAGGCAGCAGUAGGGAAUAUUGCACAAUGGGGGAAACCCUGAUGCAGCGACGCCGCGUGGGUGAUGAAGGCCUUCGGGUCGUAAAGCUCUGUCGUAUGGGACUAACACAAUGAAGGUACCAUGCGAGAAAGGAUCGGCUAACUUCGUGCCAGCAGCCGCAGUAA